rnacentral:rRNA from 1 species
UACAGAGGUGGCAAGCGUUGUUCGGAAUUACUGGGCGUAAAGGGCGCGUAGGCGGCCUACUAAGUCAGACGUGAAAUCCCUCGGCUUAACCGGGGAACUGCGUCUGAUACUGGAUGGCUUGAGUUCGGGAGAGGGAUGCGGAAUUCCAGGUGUAGCGGUGAAAUGCGUAGAUAUCGAGAGGAACACCUGCGGCGAAGGCGGGGUUGCUGGGCUGACACUGACGCUGAGGCGCGAAAGCGUGGGGAGCAAACAGG